UGGGGCGUGGCCAAGUGGUAAGGCAACGGUUUUUGGUGCCGUGCACCGUAGGUUCGAAUCCUACCGCCCCAGCCA
rnacentral:tRNA from 1 species